rnacentral:rRNA from 1 species
AGAGUUUGAUCCUGGCUCAGGAUGAACGCUGGCGGUAUGCUUUAUACAUGCAAGUCGUACGGGAGUUUUUAACUCAAGUGGCGGACGGGUGAGUAACACGUAAGAAUUUGCCUUUAGGAGGGGGAUAACAACUGGAAACGGUUGCUAAUACCCCAUAUGCUUUCGAGUGAAACGGAUUUUUCCGCCUAAAGAGAAGCUUGCGGCUGAUUAGCUUGUUGGUAAGGUAAUGGCUUACCAAGGCGACGAUCAGUAUCUGGUUUGAGAGGACGAUCAGACACACUGGAACUGAGACACGGUCCAGACUCCUACGGGAGGCAGCAGUGGGGAAUUUUCCGCAAUGGGCGAAAGCCUGACGGAGCAAUACCGCGUGAGGGAUGACGGCCUAUGGGUUGUAAACCUCUUUUUUCAGGGAGGAAUCAAUGACGUGUACCUGAAGAAUAAGCAUCGGCUAACUCCGUGCCAGCAGCCGCGGUAAGACGGGGGAUGCAAGUGUUAUCCGGAAUCACUGGGCGUAAAGCGUCUGUAGGUGGUUUAAUAAGUCAACUGUUAAAUCUUGAGGCUCAACCUCGAAAUCGCAGUCGAAACUAUUAGACUAGAGUAUAGUAGGGGUAAAGGGAAUUUCCAGUGGAGCGGUGAAAUGCGUAGAUAUUGGAAAGAACACCGAUGGCGAAGGCACUUUACUGGGCUAUUACUAACACUGAGAGACGAAAGCUAGGGUAGCAAAUGGGAUUAGAUACCCCAGUAGUCCUAGCCGUAAACAAUGGAUACUAGAUGUUGAACAGAUCGACCUGUGCAGUAUCAAAGCUAACGCGUUAAGUAUCCCGCCUGGGAAGUAUGCUCGCAAGAGUGAAACUCAAAGGAAUUGACGG